CUUCUAAACCUUUGACGAUUGACUCAUGUUGCCUCGGCGGGUUCUCCCGCCAGAGGAUACAUCAAAACUCCUGUUUUAACGGUGUUGUCUGAGCUACAAGCAACGAAUCAAAACUUUCAACAACGGAUCUCUUGGUUCUGGCAUCGAUGAAGAACGCAGCGAAAUGCGAUAAGUAGUGUGAAUUGCAGAAUUCAGUGAAUCAUCGAAUCUUUGAACGCACAUUGCGCCCCUUGGUAUCCCGAGGGGCAUGCCUGUUCGAGCGUCAUUUCACCACUCAAGCCUGGCUUGGUGUUGGGCGACGUCCCCUUUGGGGACGCGCCUCGAAACGCUCGGCGGCGUGGCACCGGCUUUAAGCGUAGCAGAAUCUUUCGCUUUGAAAGUCGGGGCCCCGUCUGCCGGAAGACCUACUCGCAAGGUUGACCUCGGAUCAGGCAGGGAUACCCGCUGAACUUAAGCAUAUCAAUAAGCGGA
rnacentral:rRNA from 1 species